GCUCGAACAGAUAGUCGUGAAACCGCCAGUCGUGCGGACGAUUGUGUGUCGUUGCUCCGUUUGUGUUUAUACGUUCGUUUCGUUCCCCGCGAUACGUGGCCGUUUCCAUACAUCGUUCCACGGAAAAUAGUGAUUAGUGUCCCUGUGCUUGGGAAAAAGGAAGGCAAUAUGUCGUCCACUCGUCCUAACUGUUCGCGCGCAUUCCUCGAACGCGAUGACGGGCACGCCGGACCACGAGCAAACCCGAUCUUGUCGUCGUAGUGAGUCAGACCCUUUUACUUUUCUUCGUACCUCGUGCCCGGCCGACCACUUCGAGUCCUUUCUAUCCAUGAGAUCGCGUUCGACGUAUCUGUGCACGGGACAAAAGGCAGUUCUCGUUCGUAUUCCAUUCUUUCGACGCGCAAUUCGUUUCGAAACGAAUAGUCGUGCCAUUCGCAUAUACGCAUGUCAAGUCAAAAGUGGAUUUACGUGGAUUUCUGCUUCAAGCUAUUUCGCCCACUUUUGACCAAGUGUGCAUUUUAUAUAUCGUUCUGUGAACUAUGCCGUGUAUCGUUUAUACGCAGUACACGUUUGUGUGUAUCGUUGUCGAUUACGAUCGAUCGAAAAGAAGCAAGUACGACGAAAAAACGCAAAACGGAUGAUUAACAGGUGGCGAUAAUUCGUGAUAAACUCGUUCGAUAAUUUUCGAAUUAUUUUGGAUCGAGCGUGUAACAUGGUCGACUACGCCAGACGGUCCACCAAUCGAACGAUCAACAGAGGUCACCGGUGACGACAGUCGAGCGAAAACAUUACGGUCGACGGUAAAAACACGAGUUACGAUUCAACGUUUAGCAUUAUCUACGAGAUAUAUACAAGACGGUCGGUGUAUAUAGCGAGAACGACGGUUGUAUGUUUUUCUCGAUACACGUGCUCCUGCGUGGCGUACAAUACGUCGCCAUCUAUAUUUAGUGGCAUCGUUUCGAAUUCGUGUGCAUUCCUCUCGGUCCUUCGAAAUCUCUUUGCCUCGCUCUCUAACACACGAGGCGCGAAGAAGGAAACGACGUAAGGUGAAUUUAAGGGAACUCCGGACCGAAUAACGCCAUGGUGUAUUUGAAUAAACUUCUUUCGCGGAACUGGUAGAACGGUGUAACGUUUUUAACGAUUCGAUGCGGCGUAAAGGUGCAUCCAUAAUUGCGUGACACUUCGUCUCGAAUGGUAUGAAUCGAUUCUAUCGAAUAACUAGUCAUUGAAACCGUGACAUGUAAGGAACGAAGAUGUUGAACGCGGAGAACACCGACGGGUCACCGAAACGGAGGUCCACCUUUUACGUGUUCUUAGAUAACGAUACCAGACAACCGUCGAAAAUUCCAAAAACGAUCAACUCCGACCCCUCCGACAAGUACGUCAACAACACUUUCCCCAUAAAUACCUCGAAAACGAUACCCAGUGUAAUUUUAACGCGCACGUUGAGCAACAACGAAUCGUCCUUGCCGAAUCCGACGAAGCGUGUCGAGGAUUCGUUUCCCGAGUCGAGAGGCAAGGUGCAAUCUUUGACGAAGAUAUUCGAGGCGCCCCCGAAGGGUGAUCAGGCGACGAAUGGAUCCGAGCAAAGGAAAAAGGUGGAGAGGACCAGAUCUUUCAAGACCAUCGAGAGAUUUCAGAGUCGAUUCACUGGUCGAAAAGACACCGGGAGAAAGGACAAUCGUUUGAACAAUACCAUAGCGUGUUUCGAGGUGGAGGACGAGGAGAGUUCGAAGAAGAAGGCGGAAACGGAUAAACGUUCGACGAAGAAUCACGUCGAUUCGAAGUCGAGCAACACUGUGGGGAAGAUCAAUUCGUCGGAAUCGAGGAUCAAACAGAACAGCGGUACCACGUUCACCAACUUGUUGAUACGCAGAACCCAUAGCACGAAAUUAGCGAGAAGCACGAGCACGUUGGUGAAGACGGGUGGCAGGCACGCGUCGGUCGACAGUCCUUGCAGCGUCGCGACGCCGGCCAAAAGCGAGACUCAUCGUUACCGAUCGAGUAGCGAGAAGUCGAAGGAAGACGAGACAACGCCGGACGAUUCUGUCGCGGAUAACGACGAGGGGACCGAGUCAUCCGUGUUCGAGGACGCUGACGCGGACGCUGGGAUACAUUCAGACACGUCCUACGAGAAGGCCUGUCGAAGGGGUAGCGCGCCCGCCACCCCUGUCCUCGGAGCACGACCCUUGGACGUCACCCCCAACAGAAUCGUCAACUUCUUCUCGAAGAGGUCGUUCCGCUCGAACCCGUUGAAGAGGACGAAGAGCGUGACGAAGCUCGAGCGACAGAAGCAACGCGGCGCCGGGCUUCGGGGUUGCCGUUCACACGAGUCCCUCCUCUGCGGGCAGGCGGUGACCUCGAUGGACCUCGCGGCCGUGACACCGCUGCAUCCGAGCCUGCUUGGCAGACCUCACUGCUUCCAGGUCACGCCCAGCACCGGUGGGCCCAAGUAUUUCAGUUGCAGGACCGCUCACGAACGGGACCAGUGGUUACACAGCUUGAGGAAAUCCGUUCAACCUGACGCGGAGCAAACGAGGCGCACGGACAAUUCGUUGCAAAUAUGGCUGCUCGAGGCGAAGGGUGUGCCGGCCAAGAAACGAUACUUCUGCGAGGUGUGCCUGGACAGCACUCUGUACGCGAGGACCACGGCGAAGCUGAAGGCCGACCUGUGCUUCUGGGGCGAGCACUUCGAUUUCCAUCACUUGCCUUCCGUCAACACCAUACAGGUGAACCUGUACAGGGAGGCUGACAGGAAGAAGAAGAGGGACAAGAAUGUUUUGAUCGGUUCCGUCAGUAUACCGGUGCACAACGUCACGUCUCGUUACCUGACGGAGAAAUGGUACACGGUGGUGGGGGACAAAGGCCCCCUUAAGGAACCCCCGGCGCUCAGGGUGAAAUGUCGUUUUCAAUCCGUGGACAUAUUGCCGGUUCAAGUGUACCAGGAGUUCUUGGAAUAUUUGAAGACGGAUUACGCGUCGCUGUGCGAGAAAUUAGAGCCGGUGAUCGGUGUCAAAGCUAAGGAGGACAUCGCCACGGCUUUGGUCGCCGUCAUGCAGCGCGAAAAGAAAGCGCCUCAAUUUCUCGCCGACUUGGUCAUGAUGGAUAUACACAGAAUAGACGACGAGAGGCUCACCUUUCGAGGAAAUUCCUUGGCCACGAAGGCGAUGGAGGCCUACUUGAAGUUGACGGGAGACAGGUACUUGCAAGAGACCUUGGGGGCUGUUGUAAGGGGAGCGGUGGAGGGUGGCGACUGCGAGGUGGAUCCGCUGAAGGUGGCCUCGGUGGCGGCCCUUCACAAACAGCAACAGAAUCUACGAAACGCCGUGGAACUCGCCUGGAGCAGGAUACUGGCCAGCCACGCUCACUUCCCUCUCGAAUUACGCGAAUGCUUCCGUAUAUUCCGCGAGCGUCUCGCUGACAUGGGCCGCGAGGACAUUGCCGACAAUCUGAUCUCUGCCUCUAUAUUCCUCAGAUUCCUGUGCCCUGCCAUUCUCAGCCCGUCCCUCUUCAACAUUACCCACGAAUACCCAAACGAAAAGGCAGCGAGGAAUCUCACUCUCGUGGCAAAAACGCUUCAAACUCUGGCAAAUUUCACGAGAUUUCAAGGAAAGGAAAACUUUAUGGAAUUUAUGAACGAUCUUCUGGAACGUGAGGCUCCAUCCAUGAAAAAUUUUCUUCAACUAAUCAGUAGCCCGUUGCCAAAGGAUGCUCCAGCCAAUAAUUCGUUAGAGUUCGACGGAUACAUAGAUCUGGGAAAACAAUUGUCCCUUCUGCACGCGCUACUGCGUGAAAGUUUGGUGACCAUAACCUCAUUCUCCUCGUCACUGCCUCCAUCGAGAUUGCCGGAGAUCCUCGAGAGGAUCUCCAUAGCCCUGGAUCAAUCUGGUCCAAGUCCAGUGCCCGCUUCUCAUCGGUAUCCAAAUAUACAGAACAACAUUUUCCGCUACAACGACCCCACGAUUGCCAACAGCAACACCAAUCUGUCUGUAUCUGCAACAUCCACGUUGAGUAAUCACAGCACGUUAAACGGAACGAUCAGGGACAGCAACGAGGUGUUGCAAUCGAACACGCUGGGGCACAACAGUUCUCGCAGCCCUAACGUAACCAGGGCUGCUACGCUUCCUCGCAACGCUUACAUGCCUACCAAUGGAAAGUUGCAACUGCAGAUAACCACCGACGAUUAUCCUCUCGAGCCGCCAGCCUUCGUGUCGCGCUCGCCCACGCCCAUAGUGAGACAGCACAGGGCGAUAGGGUCGAACAGAACAGGUGCAGGGUACAGGUUGACAGCCAGCGCUAGUCUGGCGAACGUGAAUCACUGCCAGACACACCCAGCCAGCCCCACAAGGUCGGAGAGCCACAGCAAUUUAAAGGAUUCCAACUACAACAUUACCACGUCUCAGAUCAACCAGACGAACAACUGUACCAUUAUGGGCCAACAGCACCAACAGAAUCACAGACACAACAUGGCACGAUUACAGAAUCUGGACAUCCAUGACAGGGAGGACAAUUACAACCACAACAAUUACAAUGUGUCGAGAUCAGCCAGCAGGAAUCAUUGCAACAAGGAAGAGAACGCUAACCAGAUGCAGCAUCAGAAUUACAAUAACGUGUCCAAGACAACUGUGAAUGCCAAUGUAGUGGUGAAUCCCUCGUCGAAUCUCACUCUGUCGAUUAAUCAGCCUAACAACAAUUACACCAAUAGCAAGACGAACAACACGGCUGCCAAUGGAAACCUGGACGAGCUGUCUGAUCUGUUGAGGUACGCUGACGACGAAGUGUCGGAAUCAAAAUCUCAGAAAGGAUCCCAAAUAUCAAUUUCCCAAUUGAGCAAUGUUGCCUCGUCGGGUUACCAGAGCUUCGCUGCUUACAGCCAAAGCUCCAGCCCCGUGGAUCUCAGCAGCAACAAUGCAAACGCGCAUAUACUCAAUGCAGCACCGCUUGCUUUCGCCAAUCCUGUUUACCACAUGGAAUCCAAUCACGGUAGGAACGGCAGAAGAGGUAGCAGUAGCUCGGAGGAGAGGGACGGAAGUGGUGGAGUAGAGGGUGUGAGAGGCGUUGAUCUCAGCCCAUCCCCACCCCCUCAAAAUAACGUGAGGAAUCUGCAGAGAAAUAACCAGAACCAGUGGAGGCAAGCCAACCAAACGCACAGGAAUAAUUCGGAGCAGAACCAGGGUGUCUGUUGUACGAAAUUGAGGAGGAGGCUGUCGUUGGACUCGACGAGAGACCUGUCGGACACCAGCGAGGAGGAAAGCUGCACAACGAGGAGGAGCAAAUCUCGCAGUCAUCGAAGCAUCGAUCAGCUGCUGCUGCCGUUGUUGUUGCCGCUACCGCCGCUGUCGCCACUGUCGUCGUCGUCGUCGUCAUCAUCGUCAUCCUCUUUUUGUCUCUCUACUAUCUCUCUGUUUCUCUGACCUGUCGCCUAACGGAACUGCCUGCCAAGUGUGUGUCUUGUAACUAACAACGCCACGUCUCUUCGUUUCCAGUACGAAGUGGAAAUCGAGAGGUUGCAGAGUAGCGUAGAUCGACUGAGGGCCCGGUUAGGCGCAACCGAGGAUACCGAUAUAGAUGGCGUUGCACCGGAUACCAAGAUGAAGAGCAUCAUUUCCAGGUUAAUCUCUGUGGAGGAGGAACUACGACGCGAACAACAGAAGAUGUCGGCUGCGUUGUCGUACAAGCAGCGCGUGAUCGAUGCGCAGGAGCAGCAAAUAGCCGCCCUGGACGCCGCGAAUUCGCGUCUAAUGACGUCAAACACAAAACUGUUGUCCGCAUUGAGCACCCUGAAACAAAGAUACAACGCGAAAACGAAUCAAUCGAGCAGCGAGGCGGCCGCGUUGCUGCAGAACAUCGUUGAUAUCGGCGAGCUUAAAAGCUCGUCCUGUUAAGAAAGAAGAACGAGCAACCAGCGCCACUUGGACGUCGUUACAUCUGUUUCCUGUUUCGAGGACCAGACCGACAGUCGAUAAAUCAGCGUGCAAGUUGAAAACGAUGCUUCUGAUCCAGAUGAAAUAUAUGAUUAUAAGAGUCUCGAAACGACUCGAUUGCUCGCAUUAUAAAACGCUCUAGAAAUGUAUUCUAGAAAAGAAACAGCGAUGGAGAAAAAGCGAUUGGUUCAAAGUUCGAUUCACUUUUCAACUUUCGAUCAAUCGUAGAUAAAUUUCGCUGUUUCUUCGGUUGGUAACUGAAAAAAAAAAAUACGGUAAUCCUGCGAAAAAUUUGCAGGAUAUUAGGUAGGUUUGACGAACCUAGGCAAAAAAGAAGUACGAGCAAAUAGAGAACAAAGAGAGAAAGAGAGAGAGAGAGAGAGUGUGUAUGAAAGGCGUGCGAAAAUAGAGGCUACCUAGUAAAUAGGCAAAAUGGUUUAAGUAGAUAAUUUACGUCGAAUUUAAUGUGACACAUAGCGUUUAGAAUUAUUUGUAUAUCAAGUCUGGCCGAGACCUCGCUUCGUUCACGAACUGAAUAUUCGUAAGUCAGCUCUCGUUCGAGUCAAAAUUGACGGAAAGUCGAUCGAUCUUUGGUAUCGUUAAUCUCUUUUUUUUUUUUUCUCUCUUCUUUAUCAUUUGAUCAAUACUCGCGUGCUCGUCCCAAACGACUUUUCUUCGUUCGAUGUGAACGUGCCAGAAAGUCGACGACAUUCAAGGGGACAAAUUGGAUUUUUUUUGUUCAAAUUGUAAAUAUUGGAUAAUUUUUCUCCGAAUAGAUUGGCGAGUAAUAAUGUGAUCGAUCGACUCAUUUGGCAGUGAAUGGAAACGAGAGAUGAAAAGACACGAGACGAGUUCCAGUUGAAUAGUGAACGAUAUCUGUCUCUUCUUUCGUUUUACUUUCUUCUGCGUUUUCAUUUUUCCGUUUUUUUUUUUUUUUGUUAUUCGUUCUGCAUCGUGUAUACGUACCUUGACGCACAGAGACACUGUAAAACGCUAGUUUGAUGUACGGAGAGUUAUUACCGUGAAAAAUACUACUUUGAAGAUACAAGAUUUACAAAUGUAUUUUGUUUUAAAUAUUAAAAAAAAAAAAGUUCUGAUAGAUGUAAAUUCUGGAAUUGUUUGAUUUUGAAGAAUAGUUAUCUUUUUUUUUUAGAUUUAACGUAUCGUUUAAAGUAUAAUCAAGUGUCGGUGAACUAAAAAUUAUAAAAAUGUUGAUAAUUCAAUGCUGGAAAAAUUUUUAAAAAUAUCAUUGACAUUGAUAUCAAACGAUCAUCGUUUUGCAAGUCUGAAGUUUUGAAUCGAUGUUAGAUAGAUUAGGUAAUUUAUAAAUAUAUAGAUAAUUUAAUUGAAGAUAAAAUAUAAGAAAGAUGUGUUCACAAUAUUUUUAAAUAUCUAUGCAAAAUGGCUUCCAUUGGCAUAUAUAUAUACAUAUGUAUCAUAACAAGUUCUAGACGAACAAUUUUUACUUUUUAUAACACACAAGACUUGAAAAAUAAUGUGUCCUGAUAUGACUGUAUUUUAAGAAUAUCUUGAAUAUUAUUUUAUUAGUUUAUUAUUAUUUGUUAAUGUUAUUGAUUGACGUUUAAUUCUUGGCUUCAAAUAGACUAUAUAUACAUAUAGCAAUUUCUAGUUUCUAAGUUUCAGAUUAUAUUAAAAAAAUCUAUCAUAAACGGACAAUAUUUUAAUUAAGUACUAUCCAUCCUAUCACAUUUCAAAAAUUAAAUAAUUGUAGGACUCGCAUUUAUUAGAAUUUGUUUUCUAAAAUUUUUAAAUUGAAAAUACAUCUGUAAAUCAAAUGAUAAUAUGAUGAUACACUCCGUAUAUUGUAUUAUUAAUAGCGUUUGUCAUAUCAACCGUGUAAUAUUCUCAAGCACACCGAAUUGUACUUCAGGACAUUGUUGUAUAUGCGUGUAUAAUUUACCUCCUUGUGCGCUUCUCGUAAACAGCAAAAAAAUGGACAUGAUAUUUUUUUUCUGUUCAUUAAUGCUGUCCAUUAUUAAUAUCUUUCAAACAAGAUGCGUUAUCUUCUUCUUGGGCAAAUCUUUUUGCCAGGUAUCGGAUAAAGAAGAGAACGAUGAAAUAAGAUAAAAAAAAAAAAUUAUUCGAGGAGCCAAAUUUUUCACGUUCAUCGCGUUCUGUGGAAUCUUCUUUUUCGAGGAUUCGAAAAUCCAAUUCUUACUGUAAGCGACAAUAUAAUUUAUUUAGUAGUUUCUACCAAAGAUGUGAAGAAGAAGUUUUUCAUUGUAAAAAGAGAGCAUCGAGAUUUGCGUGUAAGAUAUUUUUCCGUUAUUGCGCCUCGCUUGAGCCGAUCGAUUGUUUAAAUAACAAGUGUCGAUCGAUUAACGAGCAACGGAGAGAAAAGGAUUGGUUAGGCACGAUGUAAAAAGAAAAAAAAUUUCUCGUUUUUAAGAAGAUCGAAAUUCGAGAAAUAAAAUAUUCGUGCGCCGAGAUUUUUCUUAACCGCCGUGAACAUUAAUUGUUGUAUAUUCUAUACUUUUCUUUGUCUGUGUUUACUCUUGUUUUUAAAAUUAAGUUUUGCACAGCAACGCAUUAUGCAUGACAAUUAGAUAACACCAAUCGAUAAUGACGGUCUCAUUUUGUUUCGCAAACGUUAAUGUGUAUUAUUAUUUUACAUCACGCAACAAACAAAUAUAUUAUUAAUCACAUCGUAGCCAUUGUGUAGCAAAAUGCACGCGUACAAGAUUGAAAGGGACUUUGAGAGAAAAAGAGAACGAAUGUGUGAAAACAAUCGAGAAGAGAAAAUGAGAAUCUGCUGCGUGCGUCUGUGUAUGCGUCUGUGUGUGUGUAUGAAGUGUAUGAAAAAAAAGAUUAAGAUUCAGUCUAAUCUUAUUAAAGAAAAAGUAUUAUCUCGUCGACUUGUAUCAUACGAGCGUUCGUGAGAGCGUUUUAUUUUUCUCGCCUUUCACCACGAUUAUUUUUGUAUAGAGAUAUCUUCUCUUGUUUAAUUUCGUUUCACUAUCCUUUCAUCCACUCUCGUACCUACCCGUCCUCCAACAUUUUUUUUUUUUUUCUUUUUUAUAUUUUCAUUUACGCGAUCCCUUCUACGGAGAAAAUCGCUUGGCCGAAGACAUUUUCGAUCGUCAAUCGUUGACACUAUGAAAUUAAUAUAUUUAACGAUACCACCCUACACUUCUUGUUGGACGAUAUAAUCGAUAAAAUAAUCUAUUUAAAAAUGACUUGAAUAGCGUGUACAUUGCUAAGUUUUUUGGUAUAUUCGUUUCUGCAAUACAUCAACUGUAUUUAAGCGUAUAGCAUCUAUUAGUAACAAUAUGAUGAGCAAAUAAAUAUGAUUAGACAUA